GACGAACGCUGGCGGCGUGCUUAACACAUGCAAGUCGAACGGAAAGGCCCUGCUUGCAGGGUGCUCGAGUGGCGAACGGGUGAGUAACACGUGGGUGAUCUGCCCCUUACUUUGGGAUAAGCCUGGGAAACUGGGUCUAAUACUGGAUAGGACCAUGCUGUAGGUGGUGUGGUGGAAAGAUUAGUUUCGGUAAGGGAUGAGCUCGCGGCCUAUCAGCUUGUUGGUGGGGUAAUGGCCUACCAAGGCGUCGACGGGUAGCCGGUCUGAGAGGGUGGACGGCCACAUUGGGACUGAGAUACGGCCCAGACUCCUACGGGAGGCAGCAGAGGGGAAUAUUGCACAAUGGGCGCAAGCCUGAUGCAGCGACGCCGCGUGGGGGAUGACGGCCUUCGGGUUGUAAACUCCUUUCAGCCAUGACGAAGCCCUUGUGGUGACGGUAGUGGUAGAAGAAGCACCGGCUAACUACGUG
rnacentral:rRNA from 1 species